AAACUUCAAACAACAUUAGAAGGUAAUUUGAAAUUUGAUCACGCGCGACUGCGCGGUGGUUGUUCGGUCAAGUCACUCAAGUGGGUACAGCACUUACGGCAGUGGCUAAUUAUGACAAUUUCCUGUUGUUCUGAUUAAGGUGAAUGAAGAGUUGGACAGUCCAUGAUGAAGCUAAACCUUUCCCACCGUUAUUACUACAUUAAGGGGUCGGUUGCCAGAUGCGCCUUCUCCACUGCCUUCUAUCAAACUUCUCUCCAUAUCUAAAUGUUGGUCGGCAAAUCCUCCUGAUAACACGUGGCACUGAUAACGAACCCGUCUGUGGCACCUAACGCAAAAGCGAACCCAAGAAGAAUUAAAAUCCUACGGAACACUGCUGGGUCCGAAACUGAAUCUGGAGUUGGUCUGGGUGUUGCCCAUUGUUGCAG